ACCAAACUGAUCCCGUUAUUGUGAAAUGAUAACUUGAAAGAGAAGAUAAAAAACAAAUAAAAAUAAAAAGAGCAAGAGUAACCUGUGAAGUGUGAAGUGUGAAGCAAAGAACAACCACCGCCCUCCACUCUCAAAUGAGUUUCAACCAUAAAAGCAUCCAAUUGUUUCUUUAAAAGGGAAGGACUCAUUUGGAAAAGCACCGACACAUUUAACUACAAUUCCAAAAUAAAUACACGACAUUUAUUUAACCAUAGCGGACCAUUCAACCUUGCCCAUUGUUUGGAACGACAGAAAAUGAAGAAAAAGUCAAAAAAAAAAAAAUCAACAUGAAAUUUUGAACUCUUUUUUCUAGAAAUCCAAUUUCCAAUAAAGCCACUUCUUAACAAUACGGAUUGUAUAAAAGAGGCCCUUUUUCUUUUUAAUUUUGCCUUUAAUUGGUCAAGCGACCUAAGUAAUUGAAAACUACACCAUGAUUCCAAGCAGAAGCAAAAGGAAAUAUAAAGUAAAUUUGAAGACAUAAAAAGAACGACAAAAAGUUUGGAG
rnacentral:misc_RNA from 1 species